rnacentral:rRNA from 1 species
GCUCCAAUAGCGUAUAUUAACGUUGUUGCGGUUAAAACGCUCGUAGUUGGGUUUCUGCUUUAGCAAACCGGUCCGCCUCUGGGUGAGUUUCUGGCUUUGCUAGGGCAUCUCCAGGUAGAACCAUCUGUACUUCAUUGGACGGGUGGAAUUCUCCUGGCUUACUUUGAGGAAAUUAGAGUGUUCACGGCAGCUUGCGCCUU